UUGGAGAUACAGCUCAGUGGAAGAGUGUUUGCCUAGUACGCACGAGGCCUUGGGUUUGAUCCCCAGUUCUGAAA
rnacentral:tRNA from 1 species